ACGCGUUAAGUGUUCCGCCUGGGGAGUACGCACGCAAGUGUGAAACUCAAAGGAAUUGACGGGGGCCCGCACAAGCGGUGGAGUAUGUGGUUUAAUUCGAUGCAACGCGAAGAACCUUACCAGGGUUUGACAUCCUGCGAACCUCUUAGAAAUUUGAGGGUGCCUUCGGGAAUGCAGUGACAGGUGGUGCAUGGCUGUCGUCAGCUCGUGUCGUGAGAUGUUGGGUUAAGUCCCGCAACGAGCGCAACCCACGUUUUUAGUUGCCAGCAUUUAGUUGGGCACUCUAGAAAGACAGCCGGUGAUAAACCGGAGGAAGGUGUGGAUGACGUCAAGUCAUCAUGCCCCUUACACCCUGGGCUACACACGUACUACAAUGCUACGGACAAAGGGCAGCAAACUCGCGAGAGCUAGCAAAUCCCAUAAACCGUGGCUCAGUUCAGAUCGUAGGCUGCAACUCGCCUACGUGAAGUAGGAAUCGCUAGUAAUCGCAGGUCAGCAUACUGCGGUGAAUACGUUCCCGGGCCUUGUACACACCGCCCGUCACACCAUGGAAGUUGGCCAUGCCCGAAGUCGUUACUCCAACCCUUGUGGAGGAGGACGCCGAAGGUGGGGCUAAUGACUGGGGUGAAGUCGUAACAAGGUAGCCG
rnacentral:rRNA from 1 species